rnacentral:snRNA from 1 species
AUACUUACCUGGCACAGGAGAUACCGUGAUCACGAAGGCGGUUCUCCAGGGCGAGGCUCACCAUUGCACUCCGGUGGCGCUGACCCCUGCGAUUAACCCAAAUGUGGUUAACUCGAGUGCGCAAUUUUUGGUAGCGGGGGACUGCGUUCGCGCUAUCCCCCU